AAGUCGUAACAAGGUUUCCGUAGGUGAACCUGCGGAAGGAUCAUUAACACGUAUCCAACGUUAAACCCCCCGUGAACCUUCAGUGCGCUCGCACUUUCUUAGAAAAGGUAGCAAUCCCUGGUAAAUCAUUGCCGAACAGUUUUGAUUCAGGGACUUCUGCGUAGACUGUGCUUGAGCGUGAGGCAAGUGGCCUGGCAUUCCUCUGCUUGUUGGUGUCUGAAAGUGUCACCAGCUCUGUACGAAUGGCGCAGUCACGAUCGCUAGAGGCCGACACGGGUCACUGUCGUCACCUUUGCAUGAAAACGGGCCUGCGCUUAAUUGUGCGGCCACCAAACUCGAACAACUGUUAACAAUGGAUAUCUUGGUUCUC
rnacentral:misc_RNA from 1 species